CCCCUAAUUUUAUUUAUUUUCUUUUCUUUGCUGGAUCUGCUGUCUUCUUUUCCUCCCAGUUGUGGCACCUCUAGCUUGGGGCCCUGUUCUUCCAUAUGGGCAUCUUUUCUUUUUUUUGAGGCAGAGUUUCACUCUUGUUGCCCAGGCUGGAGUGCAAUGGCACGAUCUUGGCUCACCGCAACCUCCGCCUCCCAGGUUUGAGUGAUUCUCCUGCCUCAGCCUCCCAAGUAGCUGUGAUUACAGGCAUGCACCACCAUGCCCGGCUAAUUUUGUAUUUCUAGUAGAGACGGGGUUUCUCCUUGUUGGUCAGGCUGGUCUCGAACUCCCGACCUCAGGUGUUCCGCCUGGCUUGGCCUCCCAAAGUGCUGAGAUUACAGGCGUGAGCCACCGUGCCCGGCUAUGGGCAUCUUUUCCCACAGGAAUUGACUUAAAGGACCCAUCCAUUCUGAACUCUUAGUCCUCAUAUUUUUAUUCUAAUGAUUU
rnacentral:lncRNA from 1 species